UGUGUGCGUUGCAGCAAAACAAAAGGGUUCUGGCUCAUCUCUAUUGUUUCCCAUAAAGUUUUAAGUCCUAAUGUAUUGUUUGUCCGCAUUUUCGUUAGUCAUAAUUUGGUUUUUCUCAGAAACGCGUAACUUUUCCGGAUUGCCAUAAAACAAACCUAACCUAACCUAUCUAUAGGAUAACCUUAGGAAAUUCCUGAAAAGUUAA